AUUUCCCAUAGGUUUUGUACAUAGCCAACAUGGCUGCCGGCGGACAAUUUGAAGGAUGAUUUUGGAGGGUCAAUGUUUUAUUCAUGAGAAUGACGUCAAAAUACGCAUAAUGCACUUGUAUGAUUGGAUUAAACGCUAAUGUUUUAUUCAUGUACUCAUGCAUUAAACAUUUUUUUCCGUCCCACAAUUCCCUACGAUAUCUGUGCGAAGUGUCGUUCUUUUGGACUCUGCGAAUUUGAAGUUUCUGAAACGAAAUAGCUAGACUAAUUAUCUGUUUAUAGAAUUGAUGUUCGAAAUCAUGGUUUCUGAGUGAACUUCAUUGGAGCGGAAAAUCUUGGAGGGAACAUCAAUACUAUUCUAAUGACAUUCCAUAGGAAUAAAAAUCCAAUAGGACCAAGUUCAUAGCAGUUCACACCUAGUCAGAAGUACAAAAUUGAGAACCAUGCCGAUCAGCAAGUGUUAGUUACAAUCUAAUGAGGAACAGGAUAUCUGAAUGGAAAAAUUGCAAGGUUUCCCACUUCCUAAGCUGUUUAAGUACUGGUAUCACAACAUAAGUGCCAAGAAGAGAUAUUAAACGGUCUUAAAAUUGUUGCUGGUGCCCCCCCGAUGCCGUGACCCACGGUACGCCACUGCAAGUCUUCAUAAAUUAUGUAGGGUUAUUAAGUUGCAUUUAUUGUUAUUUUCAUUUAAAAAAAAAUUGAAAUGGGCUACCACUGCAAUAAUAUAUAAAUAGACUAUAUUUCAAAAAUAGAUUGAAUUCUAACCACAGUGACAGUAGACAAAUCAAAUUUUGUUAAUGAUUCGCUAAUGUACUGAUUGGGGAAAGGCACUCUUUAGGAUUCUGGCAUUGUGUCCCACCCCCCCCCCCCUUAUGAGGAGUGCUCUCACAUCAGUAGACUAUUUCUUGUCAGCAAAUUUGAAAGGAAUUUACCAAUUUUUUUGAGUGACAAACUUUUGUGGAAGAAAAUAAACGAAUAUCAAAGGUUUUUAUGCUCUUUUAUGGAAUAUUAACUAUAGGCUCAUCGAGAUCCUUUGAAUGAAAUUUUAACAAACAUUGUACAAUGUAGAAAAAUGUACUUAAUCCUAUUUUUGUACAUUUAUAUACCCACCCCAUACUACCCUUACCCAGUAACAGCCCUUUUUAGCUAUGCAUUGUCUUCAUUUUUAAAAAUACAAUUUAAUGCUUGGUAGAUGCUAAUUAAUAUUUUUAUGUUAAUGUCAAUGUUUUAGAAAAUGGAUUCCUUAAUAAACAUGUUAAUUUUGAAUUG